rnacentral:rRNA from 1 species
CCUACGGGGGGCAGCAGUGGGGAAUAUUGCACAAUGGGGGAAACCCUGAUGCAGCGACGCCGCGUGAGUGAAGAAGUAAUUCGUUAUGUAAAGCUCUAUCAGCAGGGAAGAAAAUGACGGUACCUGAGUAAGAAGCCCCGGCUAACUACGUGCCAGCAGCCGCGGUAAUACGUAGGGGGCAAGCGUUAUCCGGAUUUACUGGGUGUAAAGGGAGCGUAGACGGCAGUGCAAGUCUGGAGUGAAAGGCGGGGGCUCAACCCCAGGAUUGCUCUGGAAACUGUACGGCUUGAGUGCAGGAGAGGUAAGUGGAAUUCCUAGUGUAGCGGUGAAAUGCGUAGAUAUUAGGAGGAACACCAGUGGCGAAGGCGGCUUACUGGACUGUAUCUGACGUUGAGGCUCGAAAGCGUGGGGAGCAAACAGGAUUAGAUACCCUAGUAGUC